AAGAUUCUCUUCAAAUACAAAUCAUAGAGAGUGUUGUAGUUUUUAUUCAGUGUUGAUGGUAGAUAGGUAGGUGGAAAUUCCUUGUCAAAGAAAGUACGGACUGCUCUUGGUGACACUCCUUUCAAUAACAAAGCUAAUCUGAUAUAAUUUUCUUCUUCUUCUAAAAGAGGUGCCAUUAUUCAAGAAAUCGCUCUGAUUUUCAAUAGAAAACUAAAUCAUU
rnacentral:lncRNA from 1 species